rnacentral:rRNA from 1 species
GGACCUCGCGCUAUCGGAUGAGCCUAUGUCGGAUUAGCUGGUUGGUGAGGUAACGGCUCACCAAGGCGACGAUCCGUAGCUGGUCUGAGAGGAUGAUCAGCCACAUCGGGACUGAGACACGGCCCGAACUCCUACGGGAGGCAGCAGUGGGGAAUAUUGGACAAUGGGCGCAAGCCUGAUCCAGCCAUGCCGCGUGUGUGAAGAAGGCUUUCGGGUUGUAAAGCACUUUCAGUGGGGAAGAAGGCGUGCCGGCGAAUACCCGGUACGGACGACAUCACCCACAGAAGAAGCACCGGCUAACUCCGUGCCAGCAGCCGCGGUAAUACGGAGGGUGCAAGCGUUAAUCGGAAUUACUGGGCGUAAAGCGCGCGUAGGUGGUCGCUCAAGCCGGGUGUGAAAGCCCCGGGCUCAACCUGGGAAUGGCAUCCGGAACUGGGCGGCUAGAGUGCAGGAGAGGAAGGUAGAAUUCCCGGUGUAGCGGUGAAAUGCGUAGAGAUCGGGAGGAAUACCGGUGGCGAAGGCGGCCUUCUGGCCUGACACUGACACUGAGGUGCGAAAGCGUGGGUAGCAAACAGGAUUAGAUACCCUGGUAGUCCACGCCGUAAACGAUGUCGACUAGCCGUUGGGAGCCUUGAGUUCUUAGUGGCGCAGUUAACGCGAUAAGUCGACCGCCUGGGGAGUACGGCCGCAAGGUUAAAACUCAAAUGAAUUGACGGGGGCCCGCACAAGCGGUGGAGCAUGUGGUUUAAUUCGAUGCAACGCGAAGAACCUUACCUACCCUUGACAUCCUGCGAACCCGAGCGAGAGCUUGGGGUGCCUUCGGGAGCGCAGAGACAGGUGCUGCAUGGCUGUCGUCAGCUCGUGUUGUGAAAUGUUGGGUUAAGUCCCGUAACGAGCGCAACCCCUAUCCCUAUUUGCCAGCGGUUCGGCCGGGAACUCUAGGGAGACUGCCGGUGACAAACCGGAGGAAGGUGGGGACGACGUCAAGUCAUCAUGGCCCUUACGGGUAGGGCUACACACGUGCUACAAUGGCCGGUACAAAGGGACGCAAGACGGCGACGUGGAGCGAAUCCCAGAAAGCCGGCCUCAGUCCGGAUCGGAGUCUGCAACUCGACUCCGUGAAGUCGGAAUCGCUAGUAAUCGUGAAUCAGAAUGUCACGGUGAAUACGUUCCCGGGCCUUGUACACACCGCCCGUCACACCAUGGGAGUGGACUGCACCAGAAGUGGUUAGCCUAACUUCGGAGGGCGAUCACCACGGUGUGGUUCAUGACUGGGGUGAAGUCGUAACAAGGUAGCCGUAGGGGAACCUGCGGCUGGAUCACCUCCUUA